UACGGAGGGUGCAAGCGUUAUCCGGAUUCACUGGGUUUAAAGGGUGCGUAGGUGGGCAGGUAAGUCAGUGGUGAAAUCCCCAAGCUUAACUUGGGAACUGCCAUUGAUACUAUUUGUCUUGAAUACCGUGGAGGUGAGCGGAAUAUGUCAUGUAGCGGUGAAAUGCUUAGAUAUGACAUAGAACACCAAUUGCGAAGGCAGCUUGCUACGCGGAUACUGACGCUGAGGCGCGAAAAGCUAGGGGAGCGAACGGGG
rnacentral:rRNA from 1 species